GACGAACGCUGGCGGCGUGCUUAACACAUGCAAGUCGAACGGAAAGGCCCUGCUUUUGUGGGGUGCUCGAGUGGCGAACGGGUGAGUAACACGUGAGUAACCUGCCCUUGACUUUGGGAUAACUUCAGGAAACUGGGGCUAAUACCGGAUAGGAGCUCCUGCUGCAUGGGGGGGGUUGGAAAGUUUCGGCGGUUGGGGAUGGACUCGCGGCUUAUCAGCUUGUUGGUGGGGUAGUGGCUUACCAAGGCUUUGACGGGUAGCCGGCCUGAGAGGGUGACCGGCCACAUUGGGACUGAGGUACGGCCCAGACUCCUACGGUCGGCAGCAGUGGGGAAUAUUGCACAAUGGGCGGAAGCCUGAUGCAGCAACGCCGCGUGCGGGAUGACGGCCUUCGGGUUGUAAACCGCUUUCGCCUGUGACGAAGCGUGAGUGACGGUAAUGGGUAAAGAAGCACCGGCUAACUACGUG
rnacentral:rRNA from 1 species